UUUGCUAGCUAGCUCUCUGCAACUCUCACAUGGUCGCCCACUAAAGCUAAGCAGGGCUACGCCUGGUCAGUGGCUGGAUGGGAGACCACAUGGGAAAGCCAGGUUGCUGCCGGGA
rnacentral:rRNA from 1 species